UGAGUACGAGAUGCUACGGCAUCGAAGCAGUCUAUGUCAUACUUCCAAGAAAAGCUUGCACUGUCAGAAACAGAUAAUGCCUGUACCAUAACCGACACAGGUGGGUAGGUAGAGUAUACUAAGGGGCGCGAGAUAACUCUCUCUAAGGAACUCGGCAAAAUGACUCCGUAACUUCGGGAGAAGGAGUGCCUUAUUUUUAAGGUUGCAAUAACAAGAUCCAAGCAACUGUUUACCAAAAACACAGGUCUCCGCUAAGUCGUAAGACGAUGUAUGGGGGCUGACGCCUGCCCAGUGCCAGAAGGUUAAAGAAGUCGGUUAGCAUUCGCGAAGCUGGUAACUGAAGCCCUGGUGAACGGCGGCCGUAACAAUAACGGUCCUAAGGUAGCGAAAUUCCUUGUCGGGUAAGUUCCGACCCGCACGAAAGGCGUAAUGAUUUGGAUACUGUCUCGGAGAGGGGCUCGGUGAAAUAGACUUGUCUGUGAAGAUGCGGACUACCUGCACCUGGACAGAAAGACCCUAUGAAGCUUUACUGUAACUUGAAAUUGAAAUUGGACUUUAUUUGCGCAGUAUAGGUGGGAGGCGUUGAAAAUAUUCUUGCGGGAAUAUUGGAGCCAUCAGUGAGAUACCACUCUUGUAAUGUUAGAUUUCUAACUUUAUAUCAUUAUCUGGUUAAAGAACAGUUUCAGGCGGGCAGUUUGACUGGGGCGGUCGCCUCCCAAAUGGUAACGGAGGCGCACAAAGGUUUCCUCUGAACGGGUAGAAAUCGUAUCUAGAGUGUAAAGGCAUAAGGAAGCUUGACUGUGAGACCUACAAGUCGAGCAGGGACGAAAGUCGGUCUUAGUGAUCUGACGGUGCUGAGUGGAAAGGCCGUCACUCAACGGAUAAAAGUUACUCUAAGGAUAACAGGCUGAUCUCCCCCAAGAGUUCACAUCGACGGGGAGGUUUGGCACCUCGAUGUCGGCUCAUCGCAUCCUGGGGCGGUAGUACGUCCCAAGGGUUGGGCUGUUCGCCCAUGAAAGCGGUACGCGAGCUGGGUUCAGAACGUCGUGAGACAGUUCGGUCCAUAUCCGGUGUAGGCGUUAGAAUAUUGAGAGGAGCCUUCUUUAGUACGAGAGGACCGAGAAGGACAUACCUCUGGCGUACCAGUUAUCGUGCCAACGGUAAACGCUGGGUAGCUAUGUAUGGAGUGGAUAACCGCUGAAAGCAUCUAAGUGGGAAGCCCACCUCAAGAUAAG
rnacentral:rRNA from 1 species